GUGAGGAAUAUUGGUCAAUGGACGAGAGUCUGAACCAGCCAAGUCGCGUGAAGGAAGACGGUUCUAUGAAUUGUAAACUUCUUUUGUGCAGGAAUAAAGUGGGUUACGUGUAACCUUUUGUAUGUACUGUACGAAUAAGGAUCGGCUAACUCCGUGCCAGCAGCCGCGGUAAUACGGAGGAUCCGAGCGUUAUCCGGAUUUAUUGGGUUUAAAGGGUGCGUAGGUGGAUUGAUAAGUCAGCGGUGAAAGUUUGCAGCUUAACUGUAAAAUUGCCGUUGAAACUGUCGGUCUUGAGUGCAAAUGAGGUAGGCGGAAUGUGUUGUGUAGCGGUGAAAUGCUUAGAUAUAAAACAGAACUCCGAUUGCGAAGGCAGCUUACUGGGAUGCAACUGACACUGAUGCACGAAAGCGUGGGUAUCAAACAGGAUUAGAAACCCUGGUAGUCC
rnacentral:rRNA from 1 species